rnacentral:rRNA from 1 species
AGAGGAUUCGAUGAGUUUGAUCGUGGCUCAGGACGAACGCUGGCGGCGUGCCUAAUACAUGCAAGUCGAGCGCGGGAAGCGAGCUGAUCCCUUCGGGGUGACGCUCGUGGAACGAGCGGCGGACGGGUGAGUAACACGUGGGCAACCUGCCUGUAAGAUCGGGAUAACUCCGGGAAACCGGGGCUAAUACCGGGUAAUACUUUCUUUCGCAUGAAGGAAAGUUGAAAGAUGGCUUCUCGCUAUCACUUACAGAUGGGCCCGCGGCGCAUUAGCUAGUUGGUGAGGUAACGGCUCACCAAGGCGACGAUGCGUAGCCGACCUGAGAGGGUGAUCGGCCACACUGGGACUGAGACACGGCCCAGACUCCUACGGGAGGCAGCAGUAGGGAAUCUUCCGCAAUGGACGAAAGUCUGACGGAGCAACGCCGCGUGAACGAUGAAGGUCUUCGGAUCGUAAAGUUCUGUUGUUAGGGAAGAACAAGUACCGUGCGAAUAGAGCGGUA